rnacentral:rRNA from 1 species
AUUGAACGCUGGCGGCAUGCCUAACACAUGCAAGUCGAACGGCAGCACGGUCUAGCUUGCUAGACGGGUGGCGAGUGGCGAACGGGUGAGUAACGCGUAGGAAUAUACCUUGAAGUGGGGGAUAGCCCAGGGAAACUUGGAGUAAUACCGCAUGAUGUCGCAAGACCAAAGCUGGGGACCGCAAGGCCUAGCCCUCUGAGAGGAGCCUAUGCCUGAUUAGCUAGUUGGUAGGGUAAUGGCCUACCAAGGCGACGAUCAGUAACUGGUCUGAGAGGACGAUCAGUCACACCGGAACUGAGACACGGUACGGACUCCUACGGGAGGCAGCAGUGGGGAAUAUUGGACAAUGGGCGCAAGCCUGAUCCAGCAAUGCCGCGUGUGUGAAGAAGGCCUUCGGGUUGUAAAGCACUUUAAACAGGGAAGAAAAAACUCGGUCUAAUACAUCGAGUCUUGACGGUACCUGAAGAAUAAGCACCGGCUAACUCUGUGCCAGCCGCCGCAGUAAGAC